UACGUAGGGUGCAAGCGUUAAUCGGAAUUACUGGGCGUAAAGCGUGCGCAGGCGGUUUUGUAAGUCUGUCGUGAAAUGCCCGGGCUUAACCUGGGAACUGCAUUUGUGACUGCAUGGCUAGAGUUUGGCAGAGGGGGGUAGAAUUCCACGUGUAGCAGUGAAAUGCGUAGAUAUGUGGAGGAACACCGAUGGCGAAGGCAGCCCCCUGGGUCAAGACUGACGCUCAUGCACGAAAGCGUGGGGAGCAAACAGG
rnacentral:rRNA from 1 species